GAGCAGUAAGCCACGUACUGGACCACUAAGCACUCCAGAAAGACCCAGUUGGUCUGGUCCCUCAGGGCAGCAGCUCUGGGGGGCAUGGCCACAGCUUUUCACUGUGGAGAUCAGCAGCAGCAGGUAUGGCAGCAUCCUGACCUCACAGGCCUUCCUGCCUUGCAUGGAGGAGCCAGGCAGGAGAGGAGCAAGACCUGUAGAAGCCCGGGUGAUAGAAGACUACUUGUGAGCUGGUGUGAGUCACGCUCUGCAAAGGGGGAAGAAGCAGUAAAAUGGGGUUAGAAUCAUUCCUGGGACUCUGUUUGUAACCAAGGGUUCUAGGGAAGACUGGUUACAGAUGUGAUCUUGGUGUUGAGCACUUAAAGGCCCAAGAUGGACCGGUUCUACGAAGGUCGGCAGUGUGAGUAUGGUGUCAUGACUCAGACAGGAUCAGAGUCAUCAUUGGAUCCCUGGGCCUCUCACCCAGGACCCCCGGUGCCCACCUGUGAAGCUUUCAUCUUCACUCCUGACUGACUGAUUGGGGCUCCACUGGUGAGCCCGACUCCUGAUCCAAUCCAGGGCUCCAGAUGACAGUCUGUUGAAGCAUGGGCAGCACAGAUUGUGCUUCUUGAAAUUCUGAGUAUACUCUCGAAGCUGGGUUAGUGUCCUAGGCUUCUCUGCUUGUAAGAACUGGGCUAUAAUCCCAGGCAA
rnacentral:lncRNA from 1 species